GCCAGUGUGGUGUAGUGGUUUGAGCAUUGGACUUUGACUCUGGAGACCAGGGUUUGGAUCCCUCCUCAGCCA